rnacentral:rRNA from 1 species
CCUACGGGAGGCAGCAGUGGGGGAUAUUGCACAAUGGGGGAAACCCUGAUGCAGCGACGCCGCGUGGGUGAAGAAGCGCCUCGGCGCGUAAAGCCCUGUCAGAAGGGAAGAAAAUGACGGUACCUGAAGAAGAAGCCCCGGCUAAAUACGUGCCAGCAGACGCGGUAAUAAGUAGGGGGCAAGCGUUAGCCGGAUUUACUGGGUGCAAAGGGGGCGCAGACGGAGAUGAAAGACAGGAGUGAAAGCCCGGGGCCCAAACCCGGGACUGCUCUUGGAACUGCGUGGCUAGAGUGCAGGAGGGGCAGGCGGAAUUCCUGGUGGAGCGGUGAAAUGCGUAGAUAUCAGGAGGAACACCGGUGGCGAAGGCGGCCUGCUGGACUGCAACUGACGUUGAGGCCCGAAAGCGUGGGGAGCAAACAGGAUUAGAUACCCGAGUAGUC